rnacentral:rRNA from 1 species
UACGGAGGGUGCGAGCGUUGUCCGGAAUCACUGGGCGUAAAGGGCGCGUAGGUGGCGCGGGAAGUCAACGGUGAAAGUUCGGGGCUCAACCCUGAAUCGGCCGUCGAUACUCCCGGGCUCGAGCACUGUAGAGGCAGAUGGAAUUCCGGGUGUAGCGGUGGAAUGCGUAGAGAUCCGGAAGAACACCUGUGGCGAAAGCGGCUCACUGGACCACAACUGACGCUGAGGUGCGAAAGCGUGGGGAGCGAACAGG